GACGAACGCUGGCGGCGUGCUUAACACAUGCAAGUCGAACGCUGAAGCUCAGCUUUUGUUGGGUGGAUGAGUGGCGAACGGGUGAGUAACACGUGAGUAACCUGCCUCCUUCUUUGGGAUAACGCCCGGAAACGGGUGCUAAUACUGGAUAUUCACUGGUCUUCGCCUGGGGGUUGGUGGAAAGGGCUUUUCUGGUGGGGGAUGGGCUCGCGGCCUAUCAGCUUGUUGGUGGGGUGAUGGCCUACCAAGGCUUUGACGGGUAGCCGGCCUGAGAGGGUGACCGGGCACAUUGGGACUGAGAUACGGCCCAGACUCCUACGGGAGGCAGCAGUUGGGAAUAUUGCACAAUGGGCGCAAGCCUGAUGCAGCGACGCCGCGUGAGGGAUGGAGGCCGUCGGGUUGUGAACCUCUUUCGCUCAUGGUCAAGCCGAAACAAUGGUUGUGGUGAGGGUAGUGGGUAAAGAAGCGCCGGCUAACUACGUG
rnacentral:rRNA from 1 species